UCCAUUGCCAUGGAGAUGAAAGCUCCUAUUUAUCUGCAGAACAGGUACAGUAUAGGAAGUGGCAAGCCAGGCUUCCCUACACUGGCUCCCAAAUAUGCCUCAACCCUGACCUGACAAUGACCAGGCCUAGGGAUAAGGGAGUUCAGUCUUCAUUGCCUAGUCAGUCCUGAACUCUC
rnacentral:sRNA from 1 species